CAUGGUCGAAACCCGGGUACCUGAUACCAAAUUGGUAGGACUAGGGUUCCUACCGGCUCUACUCCGUAGGUUAUACGGGUAGAACAGCGGUGGUCGGGGGCGAGCUCGCGAGCUCCGGCGCGUCGGCGCCGUCGCGAAGGAGGAGAAGGGCGGCGGCGGUUAGGGCAGGAGGCGGCUAGGGUUUCCGGCUCCUCUGGAGCCGGGCAAUAGGAUAGAAAUAUCUUUAUUCCUUGAUCUCAAACGAUGUCUUACAACUAGUAUUUAUAACUUUAGCCUAAGAUAACUUGCCUAAAAUAACUUGCCUAAGAUAACUUGUGGGUCAAGCCCCUAAUACUAAUGCCCGGUGGGCCUCUUUCGGGUAUAGACCAAACCGGUCAUUAACAUUGUGCUAUUUUGCAACUACAACACAUCUUUCAGUAGUAACAUUAAUUUCUUAAUUUACACGAAACUUCAAUCAGUGAAUAUUCUUAUGUAAUAAAUGCUAUUAAUACUUUAAUCAUUAACUGUUUAAAAAGUGACUAGACUGUGCAAAUGCACGGGUCGAUAACUAGUUUCUUUGUAAUGAAAUGUGAUGAAUAUAGUAGGCCAGGACAUGAUUUUUGUUCCUGAUACAUAGUACAACAUAAAGAUAGAAAGCGGUUACAUUCUAAUUACCAACCAACUGGCUCGCUUUUUUGGCAAUGUCGGAGAGGAGAGGCCUAGCAGUCUUCUUCACUCCGCAAUCAGUUCCAGCAAAGAGCAUGCAACUUUCAAGGUUAGACAUGAUCUUUGAGGCCUUACAUAAGGACUUCACGCAUUCCUCCAAGUCCGCGGUGACAUGGCUGCGCUGCAGCAUUAAUAUCGCAAUCUGGCCACAAAGCUUCACGAUUCUUAGACAAUCAGCUCUAGCCUCACAGCUUUGUUCUACUAUAGCCUUGAGGUUCCGCACAAAUUCACUCUCUUGGAGGGAAAUCUCUCGAGCCACAUCGUUGAAGUCAUUUGCACUGACACACACCACCAAGGUAAGCGAUAACAAUGCUUCUUGGAAUUCCUUAUUUGUCUGAUUAGAUGACUUGAUUUUGCCACUGUGUUUGGACGGCAGUUGGUUUUCUUCAUCAUCACUCGGUCCAGAAACUGCCUGGUUUUCUUCAUGUUUUUUGGUUGCGACAAUUGCCUUUACUGCCUCGGUCACUCUUGCAAGACACGGCAAUUCAUCUCGUUUACUGACCAGUACUUCCGUGAGGACCUGCAACAAUAAUGAUACUAUUAAAAGAGUAUAUUCAAAAUUAUUGUCAUGUCGGCUAUUUUUUUUAAUGUCAUUAGCAGAUGAACGGGUCUUUAAGCUUACCUUUGGCAGCAAGGCUUCCUUCAGGUAAUCCUUGUCCAAUGUACAGUGAGUGCACAAAUUCUCCAAUAUCUCCGAUGCUACUAUCCUGUAAGUGAUGUUGUUCUUAGCAUCAAGUAUUUCAUUGAGACGAUCAAGAAUGUUAUUCUGUUCCAUCACUAUGAACAUAGAGAUAGUUUUUAUCCUGGAAAGUAAUGCCAGCGAUUUCCCAGCCGUAACUCUAAGCUUUUCUUCUCCCCCUUCAUCAUCAGUAAGGAAUAUCUGCAACUGCUUCUUGAUUAGAUUUUCUUUUAUUCCCGUGCAGAGGUUGGCCGACGAAUCAAAAGCCGGUUCUGUCAGUAUUUCUAUGGCACGCAUCUGCAGCUCUCUGCCAACACUGCUUCCCUAAUCAAGAAAGCUCUCCAGGUUGCUCAGUGCCUGCUUGCUGGAAGAGAUUUCAUGGGUCAGCCUUUUGCCAUUCCACUCCGGCGCACCGAUGAGCCUGCGCACCACUUUAAGCGAUCCGUUCACUACAUCGGCCCAUGCACUUACAUUGAUAUCUUGGAUUAGUGUGCUGGAGUAUAGAGGUGCCAUGAUCUUAGGGAGGAGAUCAGGGGUGUUGCAUAUGUCGCUGCAGUUGUGUGGAUAGAAGGCGAGCCUCUCGAGAAUUGUCAGGCCUUGCAGAAUCAGCUCAUUCCAGCCAUCUCCGUUGCUAUCCACUUGGUUUCUAAAAUCGUUUUCUAUGUAUUUGUCUAUGCCUUUGACAAAGGAAAUUAAUCUUUCCCUAGCGGCACCAGUGUCCUGUUUUGACUCUCUAGGAGGUGAAUGAUGAUUGUCUCCUUGUUGGUUGUUCCAAUACGGCAGGGUGGUAUCGAGCAGGGAGGAUAUGCAGCGUAUUGCCCCAGGGAACUGGGACAAAUGGAUGUCACCAGCAAGCUUAAUGAAGGUGUCAAGCAUCCUUGCUCCUGAGAGGUAGUCUUUCUGCGAUUCCGAGUCCACCAAAUCGACAGCAUAGUUGAUCAGCUUCCUACCAUCAAUGUAGGGUCCCUCCAGCACUUCACUCGGGUAUCAUAGAGGUAUCUCAAGUUGAGUUGAUGAGUACUCUCUCCUGGUAUGGUGGAACUGUGGUCCUCAUGGGCGCCCUUGGAAAUCAAAAUCUUUGCCUGGCUCGCGUUGCACAAUCGCCUAGGGACGGCUGAUAGACUUGCCAAGCGUAACUCGCAACAUUCCCUGGAGUGUGUGCUCCGCUGCCAAGAGAGGAGUCUGCGGACCAUCUUGUUCUUGGUUGCCCCUUUGCUCGUCAGGUCUGGUUCUCUGUGUUGCUGCCAUGGAGACUGCACAGAUUCGCCCCGCAUGCUGAUGAUGAAACCAAGAACUGGUGGCCUCGGCUCAGCUCCUUGGUUUGCCGCACCUUCAGGACGAUAUGGCUGGAGAGGAACGACCGCGUAUUUGAAAAGAAUCGCGGCCGUGGAAUCGGUUGUGACACUCAGAAUUAGGACUGAAUUUGCCCUUUGGUUGCUAGCUAGGACUAGUGGAUCCGUGGAUGUUGAUAUGAGGUGGGUGCUCGCCAAAGGCGUUGCACGUUAUGUACAGAGCUGUACAGGAGUUUGUAUUGUUUUCUCCCCCCUAUCUUAAU